UUGGAAACAGGAAAAUGGAGUUGAUACACUCUUUCCUCUGUGUUUCAGAGGGCUUUGGGCAUUGGCUCUCCGGGAUCCAGCAGCCCUGUGCACUCCCCCCGCCUCCCCGCCCAGGCCUCUUGAGCAGCAAGGGUCAGCCCCCUGAGACAACCGCGCAUGGAUGCCUCUUCUCAGCAGUCCUCCUAGUUUACUUUUUGGAAUACCAGUUCCAGGGCCAGUGCUCUCAGCCUGUGUGGUUUAAAUCAUUUACAGAUGCCGUCCAGCUUUUGUCAGUGCGUGUACACCUCGUUGCUUCAGCUGCACAUCCCACCGUUGCAGGGCCACCUCCUGGGGAGAGUUCUGCGCUAAGUGGGAGGCACACAUACGUGAAGCCGGGCGUUGGAAGGAAACACGUUGGCAGAUGCUGUUCCAGAAGGAUUUCACCUUCUCUCUGUUUGUAAGAGUGAAGUCUGAAGGCUGUCAUACAAAGGGUUCAUUCCAAGAUCGGCCCUUGGUGGUCCCUGACACGCCGCGCAGCCUGGAGACGUACCUCCCCUUGGGGUGGUUUUUGAACCCCUCUGAGAAGGUUUGAAGGGCUACUCACUCUCCCUGGGGAGACGAUGGGGCCACUGUUCCUGCGAACAGGAAAGGUGGUAGCUCGUGCACUUCCCCUUUGGGUUGGGGGGUCUUUUGGGCACCUGGCCUCCUUAGCUAGAUGUUCUUGUAAAUGCCUCUUGCUGCUUCCAAGAUGUAGCUGCCAGGCGGCCCCUGCGCGGGUCCCACUGCGUGUUGGACCUGAUUGCUGUCGUCUCGAGGUACCCUGCGGAAAGCCUUCAUGUUUUGGUGGGAACGCUACAGGCUGGAGCUAAUCCUUUGGCCAGGACACUACAGCAAACAAAGAGUUGUGUCUGGAGAGAGCCCAGGGUGGGCAGCACGAGGAAGCCUAGAAACCUGGAAUGGGGAGUCCAGGAACGGGAGGGCCGUCGCUUCUGCCUGCUGGAAGCCCCUUAGCUGGGGUAAUGACGGGGAACUCCCUUCCAUCCUUCUGCGUCGUCAGAAAGCGGGUCCUCUCACCUGCUCCGGCCUCCAACCUGAGCUCGGCGGCACCUCCCCGCUCCAACCUGCUCCAUCGGGAAACUCCCCGUCCACCCUGUUAAAAGCUGAGCUGCCGUCAUUCUUUCAGAACCCCAGGCACUGCCAGCCGCCGUCUCCCUCCCGCCCGCUCUCU